rnacentral:miRNA from 1 species
AGGGUUGACAUGUGUCU